UACGUAGGGACCGAGCGUUGUCCGGAUUCAUUGGGCGUAAAGAGCUCGUAGGCGGCUGUUCAAGUCGAACGUGAAAACUCGGGGCUCAACUCCGAGCCUGCGUUCGAUACUGGAUGGCUAGAGUCUGGUAGGGGGAUCUGGAAUUCCUGGUGUAGCGGUGGAAUGCGCAGAUAUCAGGAGGAACACCAGUGGCGAAGGCGACUUCCUGGCCUGUUCUUGACGCUGAGGCGCGAAAGCUAGGGUAGCAAACGGG
rnacentral:rRNA from 1 species